AGCAGUCGCCACGGUAAUACGGAGGGUGCAAGCGUUAAUCGGAAUUACUGGGCGUAAAGCGCACGCAGGCGGUUUGUUAAGUCAGAUGUGAAAUCCCCGAGCUUAACUUGGGAACUGCAUUUGAAACUGGCAAGCUAGAGUCUUGUAGAGGGGGGUAGAAUUCCAGGUGUAGCGGUGAAAUGCGUAGAGAUCUGGAGGAAUACCGGUGGCGAAGGCGGCCCCCUGGACAAAGACUGACGCUCAGGUGCGAAAGCGUGGGGAGCAAACAGGAUUAGAUACCCCUGUAGUCCCUGUCUCUUAUAU
rnacentral:rRNA from 1 species